rnacentral:miRNA from 3 species
CAAAAGUAAUUGUGGAUUUUGU